AUGCACAUGUAUGUGGCAAAUAACACCAGAGUAGAUGCCUAUGAUUUUGUUGUUCAUGCUGGCGAUGUACUUAUCCAUGAAAUUUUUGCAAUUUUGUUGUGCAACUGUCUACCUGUUUUAUGUUUCAUGUGUGUGAUUAUCCUUUGGUUCUUCCAGCCUUCCAUACCUUGUCUACCAGUUCAGACAAUAAAUAGAAGUGUGCAAAGUUGGCAGUCCCAAAAAAAGAAUGCAUAUAUUAUACCACAUAUUUCACACUUUAUGCUCGGAAGUAUGGAGUCCAGUCAUCAUUUGUCCAAAUGA
rnacentral:rRNA from 1 species